rnacentral:rRNA from 1 species
UGUAGUCUCGCACAGAUGCAUAUCAUAAGCGGAGGAAAAGAAACUAACAAGGAUUCCCUUAGUAACGGCGAGUGAAGCGGGAAGAGCUCAAAUUUGAAAUCUUCAAGGUUUUACCUUGACGAAUUGUAGUUUAAAGAAGUGUUUUCUGUUGAAGUUUUGGUAAAAGUUCUUUGGAAUAGGACAUCAUAGAGGGUGAGAAUCCCGUAUUUGACCAUUAUUUUCAGCUGUGUGAUACACUUUCAAAGAGUCGGAUUGUUUGGGAAUGCAGUCCAAAAUGGGAGGUAAAUUUCAUCUAAAGCUAAAUAUUGGCGAGAGACCGAUAGCGAACAAGUACCGUGAGGGAAAGAUGAAAAGAACUUUGAAAAGAGAGUUAAACAGUACGUGAAAUUGUCAAAAGGGAAGCGUUUGACACCAGUGUUGUUUUCUCGAAAAUCAAUUAAAAAGAGUUUGAUUUUGUUGUGUAUUGACCUUAACAGCUUGCAUUUCAAUUUUCUUGCUUUUUUUAAUGCACUUUUCGUUUAACAAGUCAACAUCAGUUUCUUUUGUUGUAAAAAGGUCAUUGGAAGGUGGCUUUCUUUUCGGAGAAAGUGUUUAUAGCCUUUGACUCCUGCAAUCGGAGAGACUGAGGUCUGCAGCGUAGAUCCUUCGGGGUUAGAUACAUUUGUGCUAAGUUAUAGCUUUUUAUAGACAACUUGUUGACUAUGAUUAGUCUUGUAGCUUACUCGCUUAUGCUAUUUUACCUACGCUUAGGAUGUUGAGCGCAUGUCUCUCUCU